rnacentral:lncRNA from 1 species
UUCAACGUAACAUGAGAAACAUGGUAUGUAGUAGCUUGGUUUCCUGCAUCUUCCAAAGGUGAUCCCUAAAAGGCCUCCCAGAGUCAUGGAAUCAUGUGAACAUAAUUUGCCGUAGUGAAUUCUCAUAAGAUAAAAGUACCCCAAAUUGAAACUAGUAUGAGUGUGGGUCUCAUGUCAGCCCAACGCACAAAACGCAGGUCAACACGACUAUCCACGAGUCUAUCCUAUAUGUAUACUCAAGCUAGGAUGUAGAGCUUCUCUUAAGUAAC